rnacentral:rRNA from 1 species
GUGAUUUUGGAGGGCAAGUCUGGUGCCAGCAGCCGCGGUAAUUCCAGCUCCAAUAGCGUAUAUUAAAGUUGUUGCAGUUAAAAAGCUCGUAGUUGAAUUUCGGGGUUAGUAGGUUGGUCAUGCCUCAGGUAUGUACUGAUCUUACUGAUUCCUCCUUCCUGAUGAACCGUAAUGCCAUUAAUUUGGUGUUGCGGGGAAACUGGACUGUUACUUUGAAAAAAUUAGAGUGUUUAAAGCAGGCUAACGCUUGAACACAUUAGCAUGGAAUAAUGAAAUAGGACGUUCGAUCCUAUUUUGUUGGUUUCUAGGAUUGACGUAAUGAUUAAUAGGGAUAGUUGGGGGCAUUAGUAUUCAAUUGUCAGAGGUGAAAUUCUUGGAUUUAUUGAAGACUAACUACUGCGAAAGCAUUUGCCAAGGAUGUUUUCAUUAAUCAAGAACGAAAGUUAGGGGAUCGAAGACGAUCAGAUACCGUCGUAGUCUUAACCAUAAACUAUGCCGACUAGGGAUCGGAUGAUGUUAAUUUUUUAAUGACUCAUUCGGCGCCUUACGGGAAACAAUCGAAUUCCCG